rnacentral:rRNA from 1 species
AAUAUGGGGGGACCAUCCUCCAAGGCUAAAUACUCCUGACUGACCGAUAGUGAACCAGUACCGUGAGGGAAAGGCGAAAAGAACCCCGGCGAGGGGAGUGAAAAAGAACCUGAAACCGUGUACGUACAAGCAGUGGGAGCACGCUUCGGCGUGUGACUGCGUACCUUUUGUAUAAUGGGUCAGCGACUUAUAUUCUGUAGCAAGGUUAACCGAAUAGGGGAGCCGAAGGGAAACCGAGUCUUAACUGGGCGUUAAGUUGCAGGGUAUAGACCCGAAACCCGGUGAUCUAGCCAUGGGCAGGUUGAAGGUUGGGUAACACUAACUGGAGGACCGAACCGACUAAUGUUGAAAAAUUAGCGGAUGACUUGUGGCUGGGGGUGAAAGGCCAAUCAAACCGGGAGAUAGCUGGUUCUCCCCGAAAGCUAUUUAGGUAGCGCCUCGUGAAUUCAUCUCCGGGGGUAGAGCACUGUUUCGGCAAGGGGGUCAUCCCGACUUACCAACCCGAUGCAAACUGCGAAUACCGGAGAAUGUUAUCACGGGAGACACACGGCGGGUGCUAACGUCCGUCGUGAAGAGGGAAACAACCCAGACCGCCAGCUAAGGUCCCAAAGUCAUGGUUAAGUGGGAAACGAUGUGGGAAGGCCCAGACAGCCAGGAUGUUGGCUUAGAAGCAGCCAUCAUUUAAAGAAAGCGUAAUAGCUCACUGGUCGAGUCGGCCUGCGCGGAAGAUGUAACGGGGCUAAACCAUGCACCGAAGCUGCGGCAGCGACACUAUGUGUUGUUGGGUAGGGGAGCGUUCUGUAAGCCUGUGAAGGUGGCCUGUGAGGGUUGCUGGAGGUAUCAGAAGUGCGAAUGCUGACAUAAGUAACGAUAAAGCGGGUGAAAAGCCCGCUCGCCGGAAGACCAAGGGUUCCUGUCCAACGUUAAUCGGGGCAGGGUGAGUCGACCCCUAAGGCGAGGCCGAAAGGCGUAGUCGAUGGGAAACAGGUUAAUAUUCCUGUACUUGGUGUUACUGCGAAGGGGGGACGGAGAAGGCUAUGUUGGCCGGGCGACGGUUGUCCCGGUUUAAGCGUGUAGGCUGGUUUUCCAGGCAAAUCCGGAAAAUCAAGGCUGAGGCGUGAUGACGAGGCACUACGGUGCUGAAGCAACAAAUGCCCUGCUUCCAGGAAAAGCCUCUAAGCAUCAGGUAACAUCAAAUCGUACCCCAAACCGACACAGGUGGUCAGGUAGAGAAUACCAAGGCGCUUGAGAGAACUCGGGUGAAGGAACUAGGCAAAAUGGUGCCGUAACUUCGGGAGAAGGCACGCUGAUAUGUAGGUGAAGCGACUUGCUCGUGGAGCUGAAAUCAGUCGAAGAUACCAGCUGGCUGCAACUGUUUAUUAAAAACACAGCACUGUGCAAACACGAAAGUGGACGUAUACGGUGUGACGCCUGCCCGGUGCCGGAAGGUUAAUUGAUGGGGUUAGCGGUAACGCGAAGCUCUUGAUCGAAGCCCCGGUAAACGGCGGCCGUAACUAUAACGGUCCUAAGGUAGCGAAAUUCCUUGUCGGGUAAGUUCCGACCUGCACGAAUGGCGUAAUGAUGGCCAGGCUGUCUCCACCCGAGACUCAGUGAAAUUGAACUCGCUGUGAAGAUGCAGUGUACCCGCGGCAAGACGGAAAGACCCCGUGAACCUUUACUAUAGCUUGACACUGAACAUUGAGCCUUGAUGUGUAGGAUAGGUGGGAGGCUUUGAAGUGUGGACGCCAGUCUGCAUGGAGCCGACCUUGAAAUACCACCCUUUAAUGUUUGAUGUUCUAACGUUGGCCCGUUAUCCGGGUUGCGGACAGUGUCUGGUGGGUAGUUUGACUGGGGCGGUCUCCUCCUAAAGAGUAACGGAGGAGCACGAAGGUUGGCUAAUCCUGGUCGGACAUCAGGAGGUUAGUGCAAUGGCAUAAGCCAGCUUGACUGCGAGCGUGACGGCGCGAGCAGGUGCGAAAGCAGGUCAUAGUGAUCCGGUGGUUCUGAAUGGAAGGGCCAUCGCUCAACGGAUAAAAGGUACUCCGGGGAUAACAGGCUGAUACCGCCCAAGAGUUCAUAUCGACGGCGGUGUUUGGCACCUCGAUGUCGGCUCAUCACAUCCUGGGGCUGAAGUAGGUCCCAAGGGUAUGGCUGUUCGCCAUUUAAAGUGGUACGCGAGCUGGGUUUAGAACGUCGUGAGACAGUUCGGUCCCUAUCUGCCGUGGGCGCUGGAGAACUGAGGGGGGCUGCUCCUAGUACGAGAGGACCGGAGUGGACGCAUCACUGGUGUUCGGGUUGUCAUGCCAAUGGCACUGCCCGGUAGCUAAAUGCGGAAGAGAUAAGUGCUGAAAGCAUCUAAGCACGAAACUUGCC